UCACGCGAAACGGUACAUAAAAUGUCACAACUUUUGCGAAAUUACCAUUUUGCCAACACCGACCUCUCCACGAUCAACGCGCGAUUUCUGCAGAUCCGUCCGUCAGAUUUGCGAACGGAUCGUACCAGUGCAAUCAGCACGAUGGAGAUAACAAAGCUACGAUUUCGUUUCAUCUCGAUCGCUCUCAGAUUUGCGACGAAAUCCGUUCCAACUCUCCAACAAAAGAAACUACGCACGAAUACCUAUAAAACAUGUAUUUUUGAAUUUUCUCGAAAUUCGUGCCUCAAACUCAAAAUCCAUCAGUGCCAAUAGUUCCAGAACAGUUGAACCGGUCGAAACGAGCUAUUGGACUGCUAUGAACGGUGUCCGAUACGUGCCAAAAGCCAACUUCCCACCGUGACUUCUUCAGAAAAUCGAGUUACUAUUCACUUCAAGUUAAACUUGGAAAUCACGUAGAAUCUCCGUUUUAACUCGGUUUCUCCCGAAACUUGACGAGUCCUUUUGUAAUUAAAUUACACACAAAAAUAUCGUCAACUGAGAGUUUAGCUGUACUGCUAAAAUCUCGGUCCUUACAAAUGGAUUCGACAAUUAUUCGAAUAUGUGAUUUAUACGGAUAUUAUACGUUCACCAAUUAAAAAUUCAGAAUGAAAAAUUCGGCUAUAUAAUAAAUAUAUAAUAAUUAAUAUACUAUAUAUAUUAUUAUAAUUUUUAUAUAUAGUUUAAAUAUAUUUAAAAUUAUAAUAAACAUAUAUUAAUAAUAUAUAAGAGUUAUAUAUUUAGAAAUAUUAAUAAAUAAUUACAAAUUUAUAAAUAAAAUAUUAUAUAAUAAUAUUUCUAUAUAAAAAUAAAAUACUAUAUAUAAUAAAUUAAGAACUAGGCUACUAUACUAUCGGUAGCACAGAGCGCUCUGUGCUACCAAGUUGUUUUCGAUGAUGCGGCUUCCAAAUCGACGAUCGGCUCCGUUAGACUUGAUCUACACUAUUAAAAGUAUUUAGAAACUAAAUUUCAGAAUUUUUCGAUAUCAUUUACCUAUCAAACAAGUAGUCUAAAAUUGAACGGCUGAAAAUAAAAAUCUCAUGAAAAAUGAUGAUAAAGGAUUUAAAUUCAAGAUCAGAUAUACUGUAACAUACUAGACCUUUGCAAAUUGCGAGGUUCGAGUGUUGGUUGUGUGCCGAGCGUUUCCACAUGUUGUGGAGGGUCGUAGACAGUGAUCCGACCCAUGGUUCGAGUCCCGAGAAUUGUGGUUUAAAACCUUGCACCAAAAUCUAAAAAGUUGGAUUUUUGGUCAGCUCUCGAGUAGCCUUCAGCAGGUAGUGUACCGGUACGGGCCUAAUGGCUGUACCGGUAUGCGGUGAUGGCUGUACCGGUACGCGGGCCGUGUACCGGUACACAGAAAGCUUCUGGCCAAACCCGAGGCUCGGGUUUGGGUUUUCGUAGGUUGUGUACCGGUACACAAUCCCGUGUACCGGUACACAGUACAGACUGGGCUGCUGUUCGGGCAGGGGGGUGUUUGCAAUUGUUACAACACCUAUAUAUGCCACCCCAGCCCCUUUGAGAGCUCUUUUGAGCCCUAGAUUAGAGGAGAGCAAGGUGAGUCUUCCUCCCUUUGUUUUGAUUUUCAUUUUUGAUGGGAUUUGGCUAGGUUUUGAUCUCCUCCUCCUUGCUUUUCUUGCUUUUUGUUGGGUUUCCUCCAUGAGAGAAGCCUUGAGCUCAGGAUUGGAGCUUUGUGGAAGGAAGAUCUUGAUACCUUGUGGACUUGAGCUUGGAUAGAAGCUUCUAAGAGGUUUGUGGCUAGUUCUCUCCUCUAGAUUUGGGUCUUGAUGGAUUUUGCUAGAUGAAACCCUAGAUUUUGGGUUUUAGGGUUAAAUUUGGGGAUUUUCGUUUUGAGGGCCUUGGAACCCAAUUGAUAGGUUUAGAAUCUUCCUUUAGGUGGGAUUGGAAGGAUUCUAGCUCUCCUUGGAAGCUUGUUUAGGGAUUUCUUCACAAAAGGUGAGUUUUGACCCUUUUUGCUAGAUGGUUAAUGAUUGAGCUUUUGGCUCUUCGUUUCGUUCGGGUAACCCUGCUUUUGAUGCUUCUAGGGUACUAGAAAGCUCGUGGAUCACUUCGUUCAGCUAAACGAAGAAGUCGAUUUUUGUGGGUUUGGCUUCGUGGAAGAGGGGCAAAAUGGCCCCUAUGUUCUCUAUACUUGUUGUAAAGUAGUUUUUAAAUGCAUUUCUAUUCUAAUUAGAAUUUAUGUGAAUUUUAGAACACUUAAAAUGCAUGCCUUAUGUAUAAGUUAAAUUUUACUCUAUAUAGUAGAGUAAUCAGGAUUAUUUUCAUGCAUGUGAGGAGUGCUCAUGUGGACGAAUGGGAUUCUCGUCUAGUAUGCUAAAUUAGCUCGUAUUCGUGUAUUGGAAACAUUAUACUAUGUUUGGACUUAGUAGCAUAAAGUGUCAUCAAGAGGCACUUGAAAUAGUAAACUAUGAAACUGUGCAAUAUAGAGACAGAAUAUUAGGCCAUUGUAUAUUUGCUAUAUAUUCCAUGUUAGAGACAUGAUGACAUAGAGAUAGGCCUUUGGGACAUUCGAUACAUUCCAUGUUAUUAGACAUGAGGACUUGGUACUUGUGACAGGACAUAUGAUUACUUGCCAUUGUGCUCAUUCGCACAUGCUUGUGAGGGUCGCUCCCUACAAGCCGGCACUCCGGAGAUGGCCAUCGCGAUUUAUAUUCACCGUGCGGGAUUGGGCGCCGAAGUGGAUUGCCGUGGGCCAGACUCAUUCCUAGGGUGGGGAUGAUGACUACCACGGGGCCACUAGGCUCGGCAUUGGCCAGACAGCCUACGGGUGGGUCUCAGGGCCAUAGACAGCCUUCGGGUGGGUCUCUUCAGAUUUGACUUUGAGUAUUCACUAUGACAUGUGGACAGAUGAUGGCUUAGUAUAUUGACUGGACAUCGACUAGAAUAGUAACAAUGACAUAUUUACUAAUUGCAUUGAGGACAUCGUAUUGGUUGCAUACCUAUGGGUAUUCAUGUAUACACAUCCAUGUACAUCCAUGAUAUAGUUGUUUUAUUACUUAUGCAAAUCAUGCUAAGUAGAGACUUCAUGUUAUAGUAAGCUACACUUUUACUUACAUUUCGCUUCACUGUUUUUUUUGUCACUGACCUCUUUUUGUAGCUUUUGGGCCUUGUGGCGCAGUUCACUGAAGUCAGUAAUUGCCAAUUGGGAACUAUUAUUUAAUAGUUCUCACGCCCUCUGUUUCAUGUUUUUCUUUCAGAGCCCUCUGCACCGGUGGAGGCAUGGGAUCGCGGCAAGGGGAUCGCUAGCUAGACAGCGAGGAUUUACUUUCACUCUUAGGUGGUUUCCCUCCUUUUAUGUUUUGGGAGAUGGAGAGAUUGUGUUUACCAUGCAUAGAGACCACCUAUGGACUCUCUUAGUUCUUGUAAUUGGAUUUGUGGUUGUCCUACUUUAUGGCUUUAUUAGUGAUUUUAGCCUGCUACUCUUCACUUUGCUUUAGUUUCUAGAUGUUGUAUAUUGCUCUGAUACUCCUAGUUAUUUUUUCCUUUAUUGUCUCUUUUAUCGCUUUGGUUUUAGACGCCUUAUAUGUUUUAGACGUAUGGCGGGUCUGGACACGCGUCGGGCGGGUUCCGCUGGGUCCCGGGGCGUGACAGAUUAUUUUGGUAUCAGAGCCUAGGGUUGAAUCUUAGUGGACCUAGCAAACCUUAGGCCGGUUGCACUAUAGGAAAUAGGCUCGUGAGAGACAAGGUCUAUUCGACUUGUAAGCGAAAGUAUCUUGAUUGGGUAUCUUUGAUAACUCUAGAAAGUGGAGUUAAAUUGAAGUGUAUAGCUUCUAACUUCGCGGAGGGUUACGUUGGCGGCCGACAACGUAACAUCGGGAGUUAGUAGUUUGGGACACUUCCUUACUUUCGCAUGAUUGGGGUAUUGGUAUUUGAGCGGGGUUCCGAUAGCGUGGGUUUUAUUAACUUGCGCUUUCAUGAUGUUAUAGUGAUGAUGCCGACUACACNCACGCGGCGGGCGGGCUUCCGCUGGGUCCCGGAGCGUGACAGAUUAUUUUGGUAUCAGAGCCUAGGGUUGAGUCUUAGUGGACCUAGCAAACCUUAGGCCGGUUGGACUAUAGGAAAUAGGCUCGUGAGAGACGAGGUCUAUUCGACUUGUAAGCGAAAAUAUCUUGAUUGGGUAUCUUUGAUAACUCUAGAAAGUGGAGUUAAAUUGAAGUGUAUAGCUUCUACCUUCGCGGAGGGUUACGUUGGCGGCCGACAACGUAACCUCGGGAGUUAGUAGUUUGGGACACUUUCUUACUUUCGCAUGAUUGGGGUAUUGGUAUUUGAGCGGGGUUGCGAUAGCGUGGGUUUUAUUAACUUGCACUUUCAUGAUGUUAUAGUGAUGAUGCCGACUACACGCUCUAAGUCUGUUAGAGCGGACGGCGCGGCAACUGUUGAGGAAGCGGAGACAUCCGCUACCUCCGGAUCCGGCGAGGUCCGUGAGUCGAAGAGCCAACUUGCGGCCCUCACUGAAUUGGUGAUGCAUCAGGCGGCGUCGACUCAACGGUAGGCAGAUGCAGCGCCUAGAGGAUCUUCUACUGCAGCAGGUAGCUGCCGGGGAGGCUCAGGUCCCUGUACCACCAGCACCAGUAAUGAUAGUUGUGCCCGGGAGGGGGGGUCGUCCCCUGUACCCAACACUUCGCGGACGGCAGCUACGGUAGCACCUCAGGAGGAGGUAUUGGCGGCACCACCAACUCAGGUGCCUGCGGCAGCGGCAGCGGCAGUUUUUCCCUUGACGGUUCAGGGAGCAGAGCGGCAGCGGCUCAUGGAACGCCUCAGCGAGUUCAAGAGGCGCGAUCCCAGGAUCUUUGAUGGAGAGAAAGCCGACCACUGGAUCGUUGAGAAGUGGUUGAUGCACCUGGAGACGUUAUUCCGCGACACUUUUGUGGAGGAGAGAGACAGAGUUUGGCUCGCCACUCACCACUUGGACGGCAAGGCCUAUAGCUGGUGGGUGGGCAUCCAGGAUAAUCCCAACACCGGUUUAGCAGCGAUCUCUUAAAAGAGGUUCAAGGAGCUCUUAUUGGAACACUACUUCCUCGUCUAUGUUAAGAAGAAGAUGGAGCAGGAUCUGCGCGAGAUACGCCGGGGGAUCGGACCGUGGCCGAGUACGAGAGGGAGUUUUUUCGGCUACUACACCGUGUGCCCUUGGUUGUGCAGGACGACGAGAAUAAGGCUCGCAUCUUCGAGCAAGGACUUCGGCCGUCAAUCUUUCGGUUGGUGCAAUCCUCCAACCUUCAGACUUACCGAGAUGUGGUAAACCGCGCGCUCAUCGUGGAGAGCGGCGCGGCGGACUUGCAGGGACGUCGAGAAGACUUGGACAGAAUGAAAGGCAAGAGGCCUGUGGCUGAGGGUGCGAGUUAGACGCACUCUGGGAGGCCGCCGAGAUAUCCUAGGAACCGGAGCCAGUCGCGAGGACGUGGCCCAUCUGUGCAGCAUGGAGAAUCCGAGCAUCGUCAGACCCUGAGCUGCGUAAUCUACGGUGGUCGUCAUUACCCACGGCAGUGCUCACAGAGGCAGGGCAGGUGCUACUCGCGUGGCCAGGAGGGCCACACCCAGUCGGAUUGCCCGAGGGGUUCUGUUGCAGCGCCAUCAUCAGCAUCGGCAUCAGGGUUACUGGGUCCCAGCCGGGGGACGCCCUCUGCCCACUACCAGACUGGGAGGCCACCUGUCCAGAGACAGACGAAGGGGUCACGACAGGCCCCGAGCCGGCACAUGUAUACGGCCCAGACUGAGAGGGCGGCAGCAGCCGAGUUUGUGACUACAAGUAUCAGUCCCUUUUGUGGUAUUUGAGUUGUGCAUUGUUUGCUAUUGGUACAUUGCAUCCAUAUUCUGAUCGGCUAUUUGCCGAGUUGCAUGGUAUUUUGUUAGUUCGCUGUUUGCGACGUUGGGUAGCCCCUCAAGCUAGGCGGUUGUUUUGCGGGUUGUGGGUAGCAUAUUUCGUUAUGCUGAUAGAUCUCACGAGGGUUGCAUUAGUUGCAUCCCUUGAUCAGCUGUUCGCCGGAAGGUGCUUGGAGACGACCGUGCCUGGACCGUUUGUGGACUAUGGAGCCUGGGGCCCUUUGGGGCAGGCGCAGUAGCUGUGUGUGACAGCGGCCUAGUACCUACGGGUAGGGCAGAGUUUUGGUCAGGGCGGUAGUCCGAGCGUAGACCCUGAAGCAUGGAAAGCCACGCGUUGGAUCGUGAGAUCGAGGACGCACCGAGUGUGUGGUGACCCAACCCGAGGAACUGUUAGCGUUGAACAUCUUCGACGCAGGCAGGAUGAUCGGUUGAGCGGGUGUGUCAUUUUGAACACCCUACCAUGUGAGAUGGUUUUGUGUGCCAACAAAUGGAUUGGCCUUGUUUUGUAUGGAGUUGUUGUGGGUACCUAGUGCUCUUGGAUUACGAGCUGACUUGACUCGCCUUGAGGACUUUGAGCACGAAAUAGUGCUAUUUGAGAAUUUAUUUUCGCUCGUUGCGUUGACUGUCUCCCUUACCAAAGUUGGGUAAGUGUUGGAGAGAAUUCGAGGUCUAGCUGGCCAUUAGUUCUGGUGAUCAAGAAUCCUCAGAAUGAAGGAUGUCUUUGAUCUAUGGUUGUGCCCCCAACCGAGUCACAAAUCGUAAACUCGAUUGGCGGGGAGGCUUUAUAGCUGGUGUUUUGCUUCGUGGUGGAGCACUCUCACUUGUUGUGGGACCGGUUGGGCCGUUUCGACUGUAUGUCGACUAUCGUGAUUCAAAUUGAACCACGAUUGGGUGUUUGGACCGUGCUGAGGCCCAUUGGUCUUAUCGUUUGGCCUUGGGUUGUUGGUGUACUCGAUAAGAUUGUAAACAAUCGGAGUAAUGCCGUUUGAUGUUGGAGUUUGAGGUUACACCUCAAACGGGUUGUGAUGCUAGGUUGGGACCUCACGAGAGUGAUGUUGCCAAGCCUGUAGUACUCCACCAGUGGAAGGGACUUGCGGAAUGAUAAUCCCAAGCCCUUUGGAUGACCUGGGAUAUUUCUUUUAUAGGAGGUGCGAGUUUGGACUGCGUAGGCAGGUUCGAAGUGAUCGAGUUGGGGGACUCUCACUGACGGAUGGAGGACUCGCGAGAGGGAAGGUAUAAAGUUACUAAUUUCCCUUGUUUGGAGCGUAUACAAGGAUUUGAGUUCAUUGGGAUAGCACUGCAUAUAAGCACUUAUGGGAUUGACUUUGGCUUGACAAUCGCGUCAGGAUGACCUUGAUAGGGAGUUAUUACUUAACUAUGGAUUAAUCCCUCUCUAUCGCGUGGACUGAGCUCGGUGGUUAUGGACACUUGGAGCAUCCACUGCUAAGGAAAGCAUUGGGAUCGAAAGUUUCUAUGUGAUUGUGUUAUGAACCUUCUGUCGAAGCUAGGCCCUUGGCUUGGGCUUGCGAAGAAUUUACUUGGACUUAAGUUGGGGCUAAAAUGAUGAUCUUAGUGGAAUGAUGAAGCUUCUUAGCUUGAUCCCUAGCCAUGUAUCACAGGGGAUUUGAGGGUACUCCCGAGUUGUGAGUUUGAGAUUGAUGUGGAGACAUCGUAUCGCCGUGCCAAAUGAGGAAUCAAGUAAUCGCCAUGAUGAGCGAGUUUGGACGGAUAGUCGAUCUCUAUUACUAUUGGAAGAAUGGCUACCUUGAAUGUUGAAUUGGAACCGUUCGUGCCAAGCAAGAUUGGACGGAUGAAUGGGCGUUGCAAAUAGCAAUGGGAUGGAAAGGGUUACAUCAUACGUAACCUUAGCUUAGAUUGCACUCAGUUGCACCGUCACGAGAAGAGAUUUGAUUUUGGAUCUGAAGGAUCAUCGUUGGAAUUUGAGCCGAUGAAUGGAAUGGGCAUCACCUUCCUUUGAUAAGUGAUGAUCGGGUAAGUACUCCAGUUGAGUACUUGAUGGAAUUUCAUAUACAAGAGCGGUGGAAGCAAAGCUAAGCUUUACCCUUGACUGAGACGAGGAAGGCGAAAACUAGAAUUCAGCUGUUGGGAAUACUUGGACUGGAGAGAAACUCGCACAGGUUUACCUGGAUGAGAUUGUGCGAUUGCACGGGGUACCUACUUCUAUUGUAUCAGACCGAGACCCCCGAUUUAUAUCUCACUUUUGGUGAAGCUUACAGAAUGCUUUGGGUAUGCGCUUGGAUUUCAGCACUGCUUUCCACCCCCAGAGUGACGGGCAGUCGGAGCGUACUAUACAGACUCUUGAGGACAUGCUCCGAGCCUGUGUGAUCGACUUCCAGGGAGGAUGGUCGCAGCAUCUACCAAUGGCAGAGUUUGCUUAUAACAACAGUUAUCAAGCAAGCAUCAAGAUGCCACCAUUCGAGGCACUUUAGGGACGGAAGUGUAGAUCGCCACUUCUUUGGAGUGAAGUUGGCGAGAGACUGGCUUUAGGCCCUGAUGUGCUCCAAGAAGCAGAGGACAAGGUUCGCAUUGCUAGGGAGCAACUAUUGACAGCCCUGGGUAGGCAUAAGAGUUAUGCUGAUAAGGGUCGACGAGACUUGGAGUUUCAGAUUGGAGAUCAUGUCUUCUUGAAAGUCUCGUCGACCAGAGGGAUUAGAAGAUUUGUCAUCUGGGGCAGGUUGAACCCCCGUUUCAUUGGACCGUAUGAGGUUUUGGAGCGUGUAGGUCCGGUAGCAUAUCGACUUGCUCUACCACCGAACCUAUCGGGCCUGCACAAUGUCUUUCAUGUAUCGGUCCUUCGGAGGUACAUACAUGACCGAGCUCACGUUUUGAAGGAUAUACCAGUGGAGCUGCAUGAGGAUUUAAGCUUCGAGGAGCAGCCCGUGAGGAUCUUGGCUCGCGAGGUGCGGAAGCUGCGGAACCGAAAAUUCCCUACGUGAAGGUGCUUUGGAGCAACCACGACGAGCGCGAGGCCACUUGGGAAUUGGAGAGCGAGCCAUGGGAGCGCUAUCCCCAUCUUUUUCAGAUAGAUGCUUAAGGUAUUUUGCUUUUGAGUUUCGCGGACGAAACUCCUUUUUAAGAGGGGUGAAUGUAACACACUGGACCUUUGCAAAUUGCGAGGUUCGAGUGUUGGUUGUGUGCCGAGCGUUUCCACAUGUUGUGGAGGGUCGUAGACAGUGAUCCGACCCAUGGUUCGAGUCCCGAGAAUUGUGGUUUAAAACCUUGCACCAAAAUCCAAAAAGUUGGAUUUUUGGUCAGCUCUCGGGUAGCCUUCAGCAGGCAGUGUACCGGUACGGGCCUGAUGGCUGUACCGGUACGCAGUGAUGGCUGUACCGGCACGCGGGCCGUGUACCGGUACACAGACAGCUUCUGGACAAACCCGAGGCUCGGGUUUGGGUUUUCGUAGGUUGUGUACCGGUACACAAUCCCGUGUACCGGUA
rnacentral:lncRNA from 1 species